rnacentral:rRNA from 1 species
GUCCACGCCCUAAACGAUGUCAACUGGUUGUUGGGUCUUAACUGACUCAGUAACGAAGCUAACGCGUGAAGUUGACCGCCUGGGGGAGUACGGCCGCAAGGUUAAAACUCAAAGGAAUUGACGGGGACCCGCACAAGCGGUGGAUGAUGUGGUUUAAUUCGAUGCAACGCGAAAAACCUUACCCACCUUUGACAUGUACGGAAUCCUUUAGAGAUAGAGGAGUGCUCGAAAGAGAGCCGUAACACAGGUGCUGCAUGGCUGUCGU